rnacentral:rRNA from 1 species
UCAAGCGACUAAGUGCAUAUGGUGGAUGCCUUGGCGAUCACAGGCGAUGAAGGACGUAGUAGCCUGCGAAAAGCUACGGGGAGCUGGCAAACAAGCUUUGAUCCGUAGAUGUCCGAAUGGGGAAACCCACUGCAGCAAUGCAGUAUCCCUAGCUGAAUACAUAGGCUAGUGGAAGCGAACCGGGUGAACUGAAACAUCUCAGUAGCUCGAGGAAAAGAAAUCAACCGAGAUUCCGAAAGUAGUGGCGAGCGAAAUCGGAAGAGCCUUUACGUUUUAGCAUGCAAGAUAGUCGAACGGAAUGGAAAGUCCGGCCGUAGCAGGUGAUAGCCCUGUAGAUGAAAUUUUGUGUGUGGAACUAAGCGUAAGACAAGUAGGGCGGGACACGUGAAAUCCUGUUUGAAGAUGGGGGGACCAUCCUCCAAGGCUAAAUACUCGUGAUCGACCGAUAGUGAACCAGUACCGUGAGGGAAAGGCGAAAAGAACCCCGGAAGGGGAGUGAAAUAGAUCCUGAAACCGUAUGCAUACAAACAGUAGGAGCCUCCUUGUGGGGUGACUGCGUACCUUUUGUAUAAUGGGUCAGCGACUUACAUUCAGUGGCAAGGUUAACCGAAUAGGGAAGCCGUAGCGAAAGCGAGUCCGAAUAGGGCGAUUCAGUCGCUGGGUGUAGACCCGAAACCAGAUGAUCUAUCCAUGGCCAGGUUGAAGGCACGGUAACACGUGCUGGAGGACCGAACCCACUAAUGUUGAAAAAUUAGGGGAUGAGCUGUGGAUAGGGGUGAAAGGCUAAACAAAUCUGGAAAUAGCUGGUUCUCUCCGAAAACUAUUUAGGUAGUGCCUCAAGUAUUACUGCGGGGGGUAGAGCACUGUUAUAGCUAGGGGGUCAUGGCGACUUACCAAACUAUGGCAAACUCCGAAUACCCGCAAGUACAGCUUGGGAGACAGAGCACCGGGUGCUAACGUCCGGACUCAAGAGGGAAACAACCCAGACCGCCAGCUAAGGUCCCGAAUUAUCGCUAAGUGGGAAACGAAGUGGGAAGGCAUAGACAGUCAGGAGGUUGGCUUAGAAGCAGCCAUCCUUUAAAGAAAGCGUAAUAGCUCACUGAUCGAGUCGUCCUGCGCGGAAGAUGUAACGGGGCUAAGCGAUAAACCGAAGCUGCGGGUGUGCACUUUUAGUGCACGCGGUAGGAGAGCGUUCUGUAAGCCUGCGAAGGUGGCUUGUAAAGGCUGCUGGAGGUAUCAGAAGUGCGAAUGCUGACAUGAGUAGCGAUAAAGGGGGUGAAAAGCCCCCUCGCCGUAAGUCCAAGGUUUCCUGCGCAACGUUCAUCGGCGCAGGGUGAGUCGGCCCCUAAGGCGAGGCAGAGAUGCGUAGCUGAUGGGAAACUGGUUAAUAUUCCAGUACCGUCGUACAGUGCGAUGGGGGGACGGAUCGCGGAAGAUCAUCAGGGUGUUGGAUGUCCCUGUUGCUGCAUCGAAGAUGGCGCUUAGGCAAAUCCGGGCGCGUAAAUCAAGGGUGUGGCACGAGCGAGCAUUGCUUGCGAAGUGAUUGGAAGUGGUUCCAAGAAAAGCCUCUAAGCUUCAGCUGUACGAGACCGUACCGCAAACCGACACAGGUGGACGGGAUGAAUAUUCCAAGGCGCUUGAGAGAACUCAGGAGAAGGAACUCGGCAAAUUGAUACCGUAACUUCGGGAGAAGGUAUACCCCGGUAGUGUGAAGCGCCUGCGCGCUUAGCAUGAUGGGGUCGCAGAGAAUCGGUGGCUGCGACUGUUUAUUAAAAACACAGCACUCUGCAAAGACGAAAGUCGACGUAUAGGGUGUGACGCCUGCCCGGUGCCGGAAGGUUAAGUGAUGGGGUGCAAGCUCUUGAUCGAAGCCCCGGUAAACGGCGGCCGUAACUAUAACGGUCCUAAGGUAGCGAAAUUCCUUGUCGGGUAAGUUCCGACCUGCACGAAUGGCGUAACGAUGGCCACACUGUCUCCUCCUGAGACUCAGCGAAGUUGA